UGGGGGAUAUUGCACAAUGGGCGAAAGCCUGAUGCAGCGACGCCGCGUGGGGGAUGAAGGCCUUCGGGUUGUAAACUUCUUUUGCUCUGAACAAGGCAUGCCUUUGGGGUGUGUUGAGUGUAGGGGUUGAUUAGCGCCGGCUAACUACGUGCCAGCAGCCGCGGUAAUACGUAGGGCGCGAGCGUUGUCCGGAAUUAUUGGGCGUAAAGGGCUUGUAGGUGGCUGGUUGCGUCUGUCGUGAAAGCUCAUGGCUUAACUGUGGGUUUGCGGUGGGUACGGGCUGGCUUGAGUGCAGUAGGGGGGGCUGGAGUUCCUGGUGUAGCGGUGGAAUGCGCAGAUAUCAGGAGGAAUACCGGUGGCGAAGGCGGGUCUCUGGGCUGUUACUGACGCUGAGGAGCGAAAGCGUGGGGAGCGAACAGG
rnacentral:rRNA from 1 species